GUGCAAUUGAGUACUUAUGCAAAGCUUCACGGAAUUCAGUGAAGCUAUUAAACCUUUGAUCAACACCAGUAAUCGUGUUCUCCCACUGUUGUGC
rnacentral:sRNA from 1 species